GCAAGAAGCAGGGCUGUGUGUGGGGCCCGGGAGACAAGGCUGGAGGAGCUGGCAAAGGCAGUUCAAUCCGGGACGUGGUGGCCACGUCACAGAGUUUGCCUUCCAGGUUAAGGAAGCCUUUGAAGGUUUCAAGCGGGGAAGUGACACGGUCUGACUUGAGUGCGAAUCGCUCGCUCUGGCCGGUGUGUGGACAGAGCGCCAGCACCUCGUUUUUACCUUUUGGAGAUCUGACAGCGGAUUCCAACCUUGAUUCCACUGGGAACCAUUCAGGGAGCUUUAGAAAAUACUGACCCCCGACCUCGUUGGGGAUCAAGAAUGGAUCGAUGGAAUCAGUCUGAGGUACGGCCUGGGCAUCCAGAUGUUAAAAUGCUCCUCAAGGAUUCCACUAUGUGGCCACAGCUGAGAACCAUAGUCUAGAGACUGAACGAUGGCGGCCCCACUGUAAACCAUUUCUCAAAGGCUCAGUCAAGCACGUAUGAACUUCAUGAGGCAGAAGGAUGAAGGUGACCAAAGCAUGAGGGUACCAUGGCCCAACACAGGCUCCCAGCUCUACCUCCUUCAUCUUCAACACACGCGACACCUGGACUAUCUGAUGCCCAGACUGAGUGAAGGGGCCAAGGUUUCACUUUUGUUUUCUAGAGAAGUAAAUGUAAAUAGUGGCUUUCUCAUCUACCAUGCUUUAGAGGUGAAGGCUUGAGGGGCUCUGCUCCCCAACUUUUAUGAUUACACAAGCCCCAGUGCGUCUACACGGGGACCCCAAGGAGCCAAGAGAAACAGAGCCAAAAAGGCAACAAGAAGCUGAAAGGAAAAGAGGCUUGAAUCUCUCACGAGUCUGCCCAGAGCUUAACUCUGUGGGAGAAUAUUUUUAAAACACCUCAGAUAAAAAGCGCUCCCUGAGAAGCAGGUUUUGCUACUAUUUUAUCCCACCUUCAGGAAACUCAGCCUCACAUUAGUUUCAAUUAACAGCUCAGAUCAAGUGUCAGUAGCUGGGAAACAUUUCAAAUGUCAGAGCUCGUUCUUCCACAGAGAGCAGAGAAAACCACCGCGGGGCUCC